GGGGGCGUUUUGGAUUCGACGACGGCUACAAAACCUCCGGUGCAUGCCGAGAUGGUGACCAAUCUCGUUAAUCAAAAGUCGCAAACUUAUAGUUGCCAACGACGACAACUACGCACUAGCUGCUUAAACCCCAGUGUAGUGCCGUUUGACUGGAGCCGUGCUUAUGCGUCCAGAGCUCUUAAUCCCUCGGGAAGCGGAGUGCUCAAAUGUCAUAUCUCAUAGGAUCGUGGAGAAGCUUGUUCGGGGCAGAUCCACUAAAACCUUUACCGAAAUCGCCCAAUGCGUUCCCUGACAGCCGGGUUGCAACGGGUUAAAACUAAUAGGCUGAUCUAAGCAUGUAGAGCCGCAGGCAGCGGGCUGGCGGACGCGGGUUCAAAUCCCGCCGCCUCCACCA
rnacentral:tmRNA from 3 species